rnacentral:rRNA from 1 species
AUUGAACGCUGGCGGCAUGCCUUACACAUGCAAGUCGAACGGCAGCGCGGGGCAACCUGGUGGCGAGUGGCGAACGGGUGAGUAAUGCGUCGGAACGUACCUUUCAGUGGGGGAUAACGUAGCGAAAGUUACGCUAAUACCGCAUAUUCUGUGAGCAGGAAAGCAGGGGAUCGCAAGACCUUGCGCUGCUUGAGCGGCCGGUGUCAGAUUAGCUAGUUGGUGAGGUAAAGGCUCACCAAGGCGACGAUCUGUAGCGGGUCUGAGAGGAUGAUCCGCCACACUGGAACUGAGACACGGUCCAGACUCCUACGGGAGACAGCAGUGGGGAAUUUUGGACAAUGGGGGCAACCCUGAUCCAGCCAUGCCGCGUGAGUGAAGAAGGCCUUCGGGUUGUAAAGCUCUUUCGGCCGGGGAGAAAUCGCACGGGCUAAUACCCUGUGUGGAUGACGGUACCGGAAUAAGAAGCACCGGCUAACUACGUGCCAGCAGCCGCGGUAAUAC